AGAACCAAGCAAGUGCCAAUAGAGAGGGAGGAGGGCUGGAAAAAACCACUGAGUUUUGAGAGACUGGCCAAAAGAGAGCUCUGAAACAGGCUCAUCCAAUGUGCAGAAAGAGCUGGAGGGACCUAUAGGAAAAAAUAGGAGCUGUGGUGGCAGCAAGAGCACUGAAAGAGAUUCUCCCGACCUCUUUGUUGCACUUGCAACUUCAGGAGUUCCUGGAUGUGUGGA